AUGAAGUGCUUGUACGCCUGCGGGCGGUCGAAGCGCCGCACCACGGCCCACACCGCGCCCACGGGCGCCUCGAUCGCCUGCACCACCGCCGAGCAGCACUGCCCGGUACCCGCCGCGUGCUCGUGGUGCCGCGCCACCUCCCCCGGCACCGCCCCGCACGACGCCGCGUGCGCCGCCGCCUUCCACCCCGCGCCCACCGCGGCGACCCGAGCCCGCUGCGGCGCCGACGGCCGCGAUGCCGUGUACGGCAUUAUACACUCUCGCUGUACCUCACUGCCCCUCUCCUCGAGCCGAGCUUCCUGGCUUCUUCUUCCGAGCUUAUGGUAG
rnacentral:rRNA from 1 species